AGAGUUUGAUCAUGGCUCAGGAUGAACGCUAGCGACAGGCUUAACACAUGCAAGUCGAGGGGCAGCGAGGGAGUGGCAACACUUCUGUCGGCGACCGGCGCACGGGUGAGUAACGCGUAUGCAACCUGCCCUUCACAGGGGGAUAACCGGGAGAAAUUCCGACUAAUACCGCAUACGUCCCCUGGGGGCAUCCCCUGGGGAUGAAAGAAUUAUCGGUGAAGGAUGGGCAUGCGUGAUAUUAGGUAGUUGGCGGGGCAACGGCCACCGAAGCCCACGAUAUCUAGGGGUUCUGGAGAGGAACGGUCCCCCACAUUGGUACUGAGACACGGACCAAGCUCCGUACGGGAGGA
rnacentral:rRNA from 1 species